rnacentral:rRNA from 1 species
UUUGACCUGAAAUCAGGUAGGGCUACCC